rnacentral:rRNA from 1 species
UACGUAGGGUGCGAGCGUUAAUCGGAAUUACUGGGCGUAAAGCGUGCGCAGGCGGUUUUGUAAGUCUGUCGUGAAAUCCCCGGGCUCAACCUGGGGAAUUGCGAUGGAGACUGCAAGGCUAGAAUCUGGCAGAGGGGGGGUAGAAUUCCACGUGUAGCAGUGAAAUGCGUAGAGAUGUGGAGGAACACCGAUGGCGAAGGCAGCCCCCUGGGUCAAGAUUGACGCUCAUGCACGAAAGCGUGGGGAGCAAACAGG